UCAGCCGCCCCUCACAUCACCGGAUGGAUCCAGUAAUGGGAACCCACCAAAGAGAUGUCCUCAUCCUCUGUAUUCCCGGGAUUUCAAAAAGAAUAACCACACCAUUUGUCACCAUGAUCAGGGUGAAGAACUGAAAGACAUCAAAGUUGAGGGUAAAGAGG